rnacentral:rRNA from 1 species
AUGCGCCAUGGAAAGAGAGCAACUAAACAAAACUUAGGGAGCUUCAAAAAUAUUCAAAAUGAACUGCAAUCAGGCUCUGGCAGGCACUGCUCCACGGCGGAUGAAGCCGAACAGAGAGAGGACUCAUCUGGGACAAUCGAGGGCUCUUCUCGUGCACUGCGGGGGAGGAGAAGAACUAGAGAGGGGGUCAGGACAGAGGGUGGCCGCGCUAUCGGGAGCAGAUGCCCUAUAGCUGGUCACAGGAGGAGCCGAGCACUGCAACGCCCGCGCAACCGCACCACGGGCUCGGCGCUAGCGAACUGCGCGCUGAGGUGGUAG